GGGGAUGUAUCUCAGUGGUAGAGAGCAUGCUUUGUAUGUAUGAGACCCUGGGUUCAAUCCCCAGCAUCUCCA